CUCAUCAUGUCCUAAGAACAGGUGCACUGCAAAAAUGUGCCCAUCUGAACACAUAUUGAAGAGCUGGUGUGAUUUUGGUACCCCUGAGAGGAAAUAAAAAGGUGGAGGCUUUGAAGAUGUUGGUACCAUCACACAUGAGGUCUGUCUAAAAAUACUGCACAGAUCACCUCUAGAAAACAGAAGGAAGUCAGAUCUGAUCCCUCUCCAGAGAUUUAGUCAUUCUCCAACACACAACAGCAAGAGAUGAGGAGAUGAUAAUAAAAUGUAUAGUACUUUUCAUAUUCAAAUAAAUA